CUACGGGGGGCACCAGUGGGGAAUAUUGCGUAAUGGGGGAAACCCUGACGCAGUGACGCCACGUGAGUGAUGAAGGUCUUCGGAUCGUAAAGCUCUGUCAGAUGGGAAGAAUAAAAGCAGUGAAAAUAUUGCUGUUUGAUGACGGUACCAUCAGAGGAAGCACCGGCUAACUCCGUGCCAGCAGCCGCGGUAGUACGGAGGGUGCAAGCGUUGUUCGGAAUUACUGGGCGUAAAGCGCGUGUAGGCGGGUAAGUAGGUCAGAUGUGAAAUCCCUUGGCUCAACCAAGGACGUGCAUCUGAAACCGCUUGUCUUGAGUGCGACAGAGGAGAGUGGAAUUCCCAGUGUAGAGGUGAAAUUCAUAGAUAUUGGGAAGAACACCAGUGGCGAAGGCGACUCUCUGGGUCGCAACUGACGCUGAGACGCGAAAGCGUGGGGAGCAAACAGGAUUAGAUACCCGAGUAGUC
rnacentral:rRNA from 1 species